AAAAAAAACAAACACGAAAGCAAGUCGUAAGUUUUUUGACCUGUCGGAUGUUUGCGCUGCCGUGUUGUUUGAUUGUGCGUUCAUUGUGGAAUGAUUCGCAAAGUCCGUUCCGGGAAAGACUCCGCCAGAUGGAAAUGGUGACGAUCGUAGCCAUGGUUGGCAAAAGUGGCAGAUAAAAAAAAGUGGCAAAAGUGGCAGGCAAUUUCAAAUGUCGGGCCAGGUAUUGUGGAGGUUAAACAAAUUUCUAAGGGUUAAAAACGUUGGGACCAGCAAUAAACUUUUACCAAAGAGAAGUUUGUUGAAAGAAACACUAUUUGUACUGAGUUGUGAUGUGAAAAAAUAGUAAAAAAAUAGGUUUAAAAUAAAUGUAAUCUGGUGUGUACAAAAA